GUCUGGUCCGAAGGUAGUGAGUUAUCUCACUUGAUUGUUCACAGUCAGUUACAGACUGAACUCCUGGUUCUACUCUUUCCCCCUUCCCAUUACUAUACUUGACUAGUCUUAA
rnacentral:Y_RNA from 1 species